GCAUCUCGCCUGCUUAUCGACCGCCUUUCCCCAGCACGGCCUAUUCUUCUCUCUCCGCUUGCCACCAGCGUCGCGUUCCCCACCGCGCCCACUGAUCGAAACCCUCCUCGCGAUAAAACCGUACGUGCCCGAGAGGAGGGCGUGAGAGGCCCCUUGGCCGCCCUCGCGAAGAUAUGGAGGAAGGAGCGAGAGCGGAGAUCGCCCACCACCCCCCCGCCCUCGUCGACGACGGCGAGAUCAACGACUGGAGCAAGGAGGAGGACGAGCCCAUGGCGGAGAAUCCGCCUCCCGCUGAUGAAACUGUAGCGCCUCCUCCCGCCGAAGAUGUCAAAGUGGUUCAGUCAAACCUUCAGUCAUUGCAGUUGGAAACAAAAGUGAAAGAUAAGGAGGCAGCUGCAACUGAGGAAGUUGAAGAGCUGGAUGAAAAGGAAGAAGACAAGAAGCGGCACCUAAAUGUUGUUUUCAUUGGUCAUGUUGAUGCUGGUAAGUCUACAACCGGAGGCCAGAUACUUUUCCUCAGUGGUCAGGUUGAUGACCGAACUAUACAGAAAUAUGAGAAGGAAGCAAAAGAUAAAAGCAGAGAAAGCUGGUACAUGGCUUAUAUUAUGGACACGAAUGAGGAAGAACGUGUAAAGGGAAAGACUGUGGAGGUUGGCAGAGCUCAUUUUGAGACAGAAAAUACAAGAUUCACAAUUUUAGAUGCUCCGGGUCAUAAAAGUUAUGUGCCAAACAUGAUCAGUGGUGCAUCGCAAGCUGAUAUUGGAGUUCUGGUUAUAUCUGGUCGUAAGGGUGAAUUUGAAACUGGAUUUGAAAAAGGAGGACAGACUCGAGAGCAUGUACAACUUGCAAAAACAUUGGGUGUUGCUAAGAUGGUUGUUGUUGUCAACAAAAUGGAUGAACCUACUGUGAAAUGGUCCAAAGAAAGGUUUAAUGAAAUAGAGAGUAAGAUGGGUCCUUUCCUUAAGUCAUCAGGUUACUCAAGGAAAGAUGUUCAAUUUCUUCCCAUCUCUGGUUUGGUGGGUACCAAUAUGAAGACCAGAGUGGAGAAAAGCAUUUGUGAUUGGUGGGAUGGUCCGUGCUUGUUUGAAGUCCUGGAUUCAAUUCAGGUUCCUCCACGGGAUCCUAAAGGCCCUCUCAGUUUGAUAUGCAGGAUGCCAAUUAUUGAUAAAUACAAAGACAUGGGGACUGUUGUGAUGGGAAAAAUAGAGUCCGGAAGUAUUCGUGAGGGUGACAACUUGUGGGUCAUGCCCAACAAAGCUAAUGUAAAAGUGCUUGCUAUUCAUUGUGAUGAAAAUAAAGUAAAUCGUGCGGAGCCUGGUGAGAAUGUCCGGGUCAAGUUGUCAGGGAUUGAAGAGGAGGAUAUCGUGGCUGGUUUUGUCCUUUCAAGCAUUGCAAAUCCAAUCAAUGCUGUUACUGAAUUCAAUGCCCAGUUGCAGAUCCUUGAAUUGCUUGACAAUGCAAUUUUUACUGCUGGUUACAAGGCAGUAUUACACAUCCAUGCAAUUGUUGAGGAGUGUGAGAUUGUAGAUCUUAUAGAAGAAAUUGACACAAAGAAAAAGAACACUGAUCCAAAGAAAAAGAAGCCAAAGAGAAAGCCUCUUUUUGUUAAGAAUGGUGCUGUUGUUGUCUGCUGCAUUCAGAUUUUGCCCAGCUUGGAAGGUUUACCCUUCGUACUGAAGGUGAGGAGAAUUUUGGAGUGAUGAUGCGGUUGUGCUUAUUGUGAUGAUAACAUGGUUUGUGCUGUUACAACAGGGAAAACAGUUGCAGUAGGGAAAGUUGUUGCACUUCCUCCUCCAGGACGCUCAGCUUUUGCAUCUUAAACAAAUUUUGGUUUAGAAGGAAGAGACAUUUCUGUACUACGAGAGAUCAUCAACUUUCUGAAUACGGUUAUUCAAUAACAUGAGCGUUAUUUCUGAAGCAGCCUUGAGGUUUCUGUGGUUUUUAUCUAGAGCAACAAAGGAUAAACAAGGUGGAUCUUGAUUCCUAGUUGCAGUAGAAGAGCGUUAUGAUGAGCACGAUUGAGCUUGUGUCAUUUGUUUUAUGAGGUGAAAUACCACCCUUCGCUGGGUGUGAGUUAAAACUACUUGAGCGUGGCUUGUCUAUACUUGCUUUAUAGUUCUUUAUACAUGUGUGCUAGCAAUUUUUCCACAGGUCUGGCAACAGGAAUCAUUAUGAUUAGUAUGAUCGAGCUUGUCAUUUA